UGGUGCUUGCAUCAUGAUUUACAUUUGAGUGAGUGGCGAACUGGUGAGUAACACGUGGGAAACCUGCCCAGAAGCGGGGGAUAACACCUGGAAACAGAUGCUAAUACCGCAUAACAACUUGGACCGCAUGGUCCGAGUUUGAAAGAUGGCUUCGGCUAUCACUUUUGGAUGGUCCCGCGGCGUAUUAGCUAGAUGGUGGGGUAACGGCUCMCCAUGGCAAUGAUACGUASCCRACCUGARAGGGUAAUCGGCCACAUUGGGACUGARACMCGGCCCAAACUCCUACGGGAGGCAGCAGUAGGGAAUCUUCCACAAUGGACGAAAGUYUGAUGGAGCAACSCCSCGUGAGUGAARAAGGGUUUCGGCUCGUAAAACUYUGUUGUUAAAGAARAACAU
rnacentral:rRNA from 1 species